rnacentral:rRNA from 1 species
AACGAACGCUGGCGGCAUGCCUAACACAUGCAAGUCGAACGAGACCUUCGGGUCUAGCGGCGCACGGGUGCGUAACGCGUGGGAACCUGCCCUUAGGUUCGGAAUAACUCCCCGAAAGGGGUGCUAAUACCGGAUAAUGUCUUCCGACCAAAGAUUUAUCGCCUUUGGAUGGGCCCGCGUUGGAUUAGCUAUGUGGUAGGGUAAAAGCCUUCCAAGGCGACGAUACAUAGCUGGUCGGAGAGGAUGAUCAACGACACUGAGACUGGGACACGGCCCAAACUCCUACGGAGGGCAGCAGUGCGGAAUAAUGGACAAGGCGCGACAGCCUGAGCCCGCAAUGCCGCGUAAGUGAUGAAGGCGUUAGGAUUGUAGAGCUCUUUUAAACGGGAUGAUAAUGACAGUACCGGGAGAAUAAGCUCCGGCUAACUCCGUG